GGAAAAAUCCAAAGUGAUGGUAUUUCGAAAGAGUGGAAGAUUACAUGAUGAUGAGAAAUGGACAUACGAUGGAAUUACAUUAGAAACAGUCGAUAACUUUAACUAUCUAGGUGUCGUAUUUGGUUCAAAUGGUGGAUUUAAUCUUAAUUCCCAAAUGUUAGUGGGUAAAGCGCUUAAAGCAAUGAAUACAUUAUUAGUUAAUACGAAAGAGUUCGAGUUUUUCCCAAAAAACUAUGUGUAGUUUAUUCGAUUCGUUUGUAACCUCGAUUUUAAAUUAUUCAGCUGAGGUGUGGGGUUUUACCAAAUGUAAAGAGAUGGAGCGUAUACACUUAAAGUUCUGCAAACGAGUAUUAAAUGUUAAGAUAUCCACAAGUAAUGCUGGUGUAUAUGGUGAAUUAGGACGAUUCCCGCUGUAUAUCAAUCGCUACAUUAAAGUGCUUAAAUUUUGGUUUAAAGUGUUAAAAACUAGUAAUUGUGUUUUAAAAACGGUGUAUUCAAUUAUGCUGGAAAACGUACAAAAGAAUAAAACUAAUUGGUUGUCAAAUGUAAAAUCAAUGUUAUAUACGUUUGGUUAUGGGUAUGUUUGGGAAAACCCUUUAAAUUGUAAUGAAGCCACAUUUAUUAUACAAUAGGGCCCGUAAGUCUCGUUUACUUUCACUUUCGAUUUACCACUUCCGGGUACAUCGGCAGACUUAUUUACCGUUACGCAUAUAGGUAACCCGAAGAACUCGAGGGAUAUAGAAGUUAAAUUUGUUUCGGUCCUCUUCAGAUUUGAAGGAAUGGAUAGCACGGGUAAAAAAAUGCAGAUGUAUAGACAAGGAGGUAUAUGACAAGUAUAUAGAAUAUACAGUUGUUCAAUAUGGACCAUUAAUCAACUGUUUGCACUGCCUAUGAUCCUGAAAUAUCUAUACAUCAAAGAUAAAAAGGGAAAAUAUGAAGGAGGAUUUGUCCAUGAAGACCUUUAUUGCAACUACCAUCUUCCAGUUCCUUAAUUUGAGAAUGAUAUCAGAGAACACACAGUUACAGUGAAAUAUUAGUUUAAUAUAAGCCACUGAGAAUAGUCAAAUGUACUUUCCUGAAGAAGAUGAAUGACAUCCAGCACAAAAAAUCUUAAUGUAUAAAGAGUAUGAUUUUAUGGUGUUUGACACUAUGAUCUUUUUAACAUGUUAAUGUCACAAUGAUAGAAACAGAGUAAAAUAUCCACAUUUCAUUGCAGUUUUAAGUAUUAAAACUAGAUACUCUAUAUAUACCAAAGAUGAUAACACACCAGAGAUAAGGUUUUUUCAUGGAAUCACAGUAUAGUCAUAUGACAUUAUGGACAUUAAAUGACUAUGAAGUAAAGAUUAGCAAAAAUAUAUAUCAUCUACUACUAAUAUUGUGAGGUAAUCAUUGAUUAGCUCACAAAUUUGCAAUCAAAGCUUUGAUAUCAAGCUGAACAUUUUUCAAUUAGAAUAUGAUUUAUAACUCUUUGAUAAUUUGUUCAUGUUAAUUUUCAAAGUCUUUACAUUUGUAAAAGGAAAUAUUCUUAUUCUUGUAUCAGUAGACAUUCACAGUGUAAAGUUACAUUGUCCAAAUAACUAAUUAUAAUUCCAAGUGCUUUCCUAAAGUUUUUCUGCCACUGGAAAAUCAGUGUGAUAUAUAUGCUAAGCAGUGCACUAUAAAUUGUGUAAAAUUAAAAGUUUAUUAAACUUA